GGANUCACUGGGCGUAAAGGACGCGUAGGCGGAUUACCAAGUCUCUUGUGAAAUCUAACGGCUUANCCGUUAAACUGCUUGGGAAACUGAUAAUCUAGAGUAAGGGAGAGGCAGAUGGAAUUCUUGGUGUGGGGGUAAANUCCGUAGAUAUCAAGAAGAAUACNUAUUGCGAAGGCGAUCUGCUGGAACUUAACUGACGCUAAUGCGUGAAAGCGUGGGGAGCAAACAGGAUUAGAUACCCUGGUAGUCCACGCCCUAAACGAUGUAUACCGGUUGUUGCUGUGCUAGUCACGGCAGUAAUCCACCUAACGGAUUAAGUAUACCGCCUGGGGAGUACGGUCGCAAGAUUAAAACUCAAAGGAAUAGACGGGGACCCGCACAAGCGGUGGAGCAUGUGGUUUAAUUCGAAGAUACGCGAAGAACCUUACCCGGACUUGAUAUCUAACAAAUCAUCCAGAGAUGGAAGAGUGUCUGCUUGCAGAAAUGUUAAGACAGGUGCUGCACGGCUGUCGUCAGCUCGUGUCGUGAGAUGUUGGGUUAAGUCCCGCAACGAGCGCAACCCACGUCAUUAGUUGCUAACGGUUCGGCCGAGCACUCUAAUGAGACUGCCUUCGUAAGGAGGAGGAAGGUGUGGACGACGUCAAGUCAUCAUGGCCCUUAUGUCCGGGGCGACACACGUGCUACAAUGGCAUAUACAAUAAGACGCAAUAUCGCGAGAUGGAGCAAAUCUAAAAAAUAUGUCCCAGUUCGGAUUGGAGUCUGCAAC
rnacentral:rRNA from 1 species